GGGUGGGCUGGGGGACAGGCGCGCCCGCGCCGCCCGCUCCAGCUGGGCUAGUGCUGUACAUUCCGGCCAGCCCCUCCUCAAGACCCCAUUCCCAAGCCCCUUCUCGGCUCCCUCGGGCCGGCAGAGCGGCUCUGAUCAGUAAAAUGCUGUUGAAGGCCCAUGGGCAUGACUGCACCCCUCACUAAUUGGUCACUGGUUUGGGGAGGACACCACUGUCCCAGUGGAACCUUGAGCACACCUUGGAGCCCUCCUCUUCCUCUCCGGACCUGCGCCAAACUGCCAUCCUGCAGCCACCAGAACCUUCCACAUGAAAUGAAAGGCUCACCACUUCAUAGGCUUUAAGGAAAUUCUUGGCCAGGUGUGGUGCCUCACUCCUGUAAUCCCAGUGCUUUAAGAGGCCAAGAUGGGAGGAUUGUUUGAGCCAGGUGUUUGAGACCAGCCUGGGCAACGUUGUAAGACCCCAUCUCUACAAAAAAAAUAAAAAAAUAAAAAAUUG